rnacentral:rRNA from 1 species
GAUGAACGCUGGCGGCGUGCCUAAUACAUGCAAGUAGAACGCUGAAGCUUGGUGCUUGCACCGAGCGGAUGAGUUGCGAACGGGUGAGUAACGCGUAGGUAACCUGCCUGGUAGCGGGGGAUAACUAUUGGAAACGAUAGCUAAUACCGCAUGACAACAGUUAUUGCAUGAUAACUGUUUAAAAGGGGCAACUGCUCCACUACCAGAUGGACCUGCGUUGUAUUAGCUAGUUGGUGAGGUAACGGCUCACCAAGGCGAUGAUACAUAGCCGACCUGAGAGGGUGAUCGGCCACACUGGGACUGAGACACGGCCCAGACUCCUACGGGAGGCAGCAGUAGGGAAUCUUCGGCAAUGGACGGAAGUCUGACCGAGCAACGCCGCGUGAGUGAAGAAGGUUUUCGGAUCGUAAAGCUCUGUUGUAAGAGAAGAACGAGUGUGAGAGUGGAAAGUUCACACUGUGACGGUAUCUUACCAGAAAGGGACGGCUAACUACGUGCCAGCAGCCGCGGUAAUACGUAGGUCCCGAGCGUUAUCCGGAUUUAUUGGGCGUAAAGCGAGCGCAGGCGGUUAGAUAAGUCUGAAGUUAAAGGCUGUGGCUUAACCAUAGUACGCUUUGGAAACUGUUUAACUUGAGUGCAAGAGGGGAGAGUGGAAUUCCAUGUGUAGCGGUGAAAUGCGUAGAUAUAUGGAGGAACACCGGUGGCGAAAGCGGCUCUCUGGCUUGUAACUGACGCUGAGGCUCGAAAGCGUGGGGAGCAAACAGG